ensembl:snoRNA
CCUGCACCUGAGGGGAGAAAGGGGGAGGCCAGGAGUGAGUCAUUUUGGUUGCAGAGGGAAGAAAGACAGGACUUAGGUCAGUGCCUGGGCUUGGCCUCUGACUGGUUAUUUGUCUGACCUG